rnacentral:tRNA from 1 species
GUGAUUGUAGCACAAUGGUAGUGCGGUGGAUUGUGGCUCCAACUAUACGGGUUCGACUCCCGUCUUUCACA